UGGGGAAUAUUGCACAAUGGGCGAAAGCCUGAUGCAGCAACGCCGCGUGAGGGAUGACGGCCUUCGGGUUGUAAACCUCUUUUAGCAGGGAAGAAGCGAAAGUGACGGUACCUGCAGAAAAAGCGCCGGCUAACUACGUGCCAGCAGCCGCGGUAAUACGUAGGGCGCAAGCGUUAUCCGGAAUUAUUGGGCGUAAAGAGCUCGUAGGCGGUUUGUCGCGUCUGCUGUGAAAUCCCGAGGCUCAACCUCGGGCCUGCAGUGGGUACGGGCAGACUAGAGUGCGGUAGAGGAGAUGGGAAUUCCUGGUGUAGCGGUGGAAUGCGCAGAUAUCAGGAGGAACACCGAUGGCGAAGGCAGAUCUCUGGGCCGUAACUGACGCUGAGGAGCGAAAGGGUGGGGAACAAACA
rnacentral:rRNA from 1 species